UUGGCUGAUGGUGGCAGAAGCACACCUCCUCCUUUUUUUUAAUGUGAAGAUGUGUGCAGCAAACCACAGAUGGAGGGAGCAGGAAGAAAUGGGGCCGUUUCUAAAGAAAUUAGGUGCCGGAGGAGAAGAAGGUUCUAAGUCCCAUGGAGCUGAAGUUCCAGCUGUUGAGAGCUCCCCAAAGAGGCUGCUAGGAAUGGAACUCCAGUCCUCUGGAAGAACAAGUGCUUUAAACCAUUAAGCAUCUCUCCGACUGCAGGAACUGUUUGAAACCUUUGCAGUGGCCAAGGAAUAGAAACCCUAACUAUGGAGCUGGUGAGAUGGCUCACUGGUUAAGAGUGCCGACUGCUCUUCCGAAGGUCCUGAGUUCAAAUCCCAGCAACCACAUG
rnacentral:lncRNA from 1 species